AUCGUCUUUUUUUGUU
rnacentral:sRNA from 1 species